GAGGUUGUAGCUCAGUGGUAGAGCACUUGCCUAACAGGUAUGAGGCACUGGGUUCAAUUCUCAGCACCGCA
rnacentral:tRNA from 2 species